UACGUAGGGGGCAAGCGUUGUCCGGAAUCAUUGGGCGUAAAGAGCGUGUAGGCGGUCCGGUAAGUCGGCUGUGAAAGUCCAGGGCUCAACCCUGGGAUGCCGGUGGAUACUGUCGAGCUCGAGUCCGGAAGAGGCGAGUGGAAUUCCUGGUGUAGCGGUAAAAUGCGCAGAUAUCAGGAGGAACACCAAUGGCGAAGGCAGCUCGCUGGGACGUGACUGACGCUGAGACGCGAAAGCGUGGGGAGCAAACAGG
rnacentral:rRNA from 1 species